rnacentral:rRNA from 1 species
CAAAUUUCGACUGUCGUAGCUCAACUCCUACCCUGUGGUGCAUGUUUCCUACGUUGCUUCUUCGGGAGCAGACGGCCCUGUAACACCCCCCCCGCCCCCGCCAGAGCCCCCCUAACUCUGUUUUUAUAAUGUUUUUCUGAGUAAACAAGCAAAUAAAUUAAAACUUUCAACAACGGAUCUCUUGGCUCUGGCAUCUAUGAACAACGCACCAAAAUGAAAUAAGUAAUGUGAAUUGCAAAAUUCAAUGAAUCAUCUUAUCUUUGAACGCACAUUGCGCCCGCCAGUAUUCUGGCGGGCAUGCCUGUUCGAGCGUCAUUACAACCCUCACGCCCCCGGGCCUGGCGUUGGGGAUCGGCAGAAGCCCCCUGUGGGCACACGCCGUCCCUCAAAUACAGUGGCGGUCCCGCCGCAGCUUCCAUUGCGUAGUAGCUAACACCUCGCAACUGGAGAGCGGCGCGGCCAUGCCGUAAAACACCCAACUUCUGAAUGUUGACCUCGAAUCAGGUAGGAAUACCCUCUCCCAACUUAAGCAUAUCAAUAAGCGGAGGAAGCUCAAAAGAGGCCCUU